AUGAUUUUGGUGUGGUUGAAGGUUUUAUUCAGCGGUCGCAGGGCCGCUUACAUUAUGCCAGUUUUCAGAGGGAUAAAAGAUGGUGUUGUCAUUCGACUAAUAGUUUAUGUUUUGGAGAACUAUCAAGACGAACAAUGGAUACUGAAGCAUAGCAUUGAAACUUCGAGCGUAUUUGGAUGGACAGAUUUAUGCCUUGAUGGGGAUCUUGAUUUUGUUGCAAUUCACCUGGAAUGCAACUUGGUGUUCUUCAUUGCGGGGGGUAUCACAUUAAUAUGCUAUAAUAUGGAUAAUCGGCAAGUCAAAGUGAUCUCCCAUCUUGCAGGUGGCAAGCCGUUAUUUCUACCCUAUGUGCCGUUGUACACAGAGUCACAAUCAUUGCACAUUUGA
rnacentral:rRNA from 1 species